rnacentral:rRNA from 1 species
UACGAAGGGGGCUAGCGUUGCUCGGAAUCACUGGGCGUAAAGCGCACGUAGGCGGAUCUUUAAGUCAGGGGUGAAAUCCCGGAGCUCAACUCCGGAACUGCCUUUGAUACUGAAGAUCUUGAGUUCGGGAGAGGUGAGUGGAACUGCGAGUGUAGAGGUGAAAUUCGUAGAUAUUCGCAAGAACACCAGUGGCGAAGGCGGCUCACUGGCCCGAUACUGACGCUGAGGUGCGAAAGCGUGGGGAGCAAACAGG